rnacentral:rRNA from 1 species
UACGUAGGGUGCAAGCGUUAAUCGGAAUUACUGGGCGUAAAGCGUGCGCAGGCGGUGAUGUAAGACAGGUGUGAAAUCCCCGGGCUUAACCUGGGAACUGCAUUUGAGACUGCAUCGCUGGAGUGCGGCAGAGGGGGAUGGAAUUCCGCGUGUAGCAGUGAAAUGCGUAGAUAUGCGGAGGAACACCGAUGGCGAAGGCAAUCCCCUGGGCCUGCACUGACGCUCAUGCACGAAAGCGUGGGGAGCAAACAGG